rnacentral:rRNA from 1 species
UACGAAGGGGACUAGCGUUGUUCGGAUUUACUGGGCGUAAAGCGCGCGUAGGCGGAUCGCUAAGUCAGGGGUGAAAUCCCAGGGCUCAACCCUGGAACUGCCUUUGAUACUGACGAUCUGGAGAUCGGGAGAGGUUGGUGGAAUUCCGAGUGUAGAGGUGAAAUUCGUAGAUAUUCGGAGGAACACCAGAAGCGAAGGCGGCCAACUGGCCCGAUACUGACGCUGAGGCGCGAAAAGCGUGGGGAGCAAACAGG